UCUAGAACUUGAUAUAUGGGCUAAACAUUGAACAGUGUCUGGGCUGCAGGACAGAUUCAGACUUCUCUUUUGAUGCUAAAAUUUGGACUUCCAAACAGCAGAAUUGAGUCUUGGACACUCUUGAAUGUUUUAAGCCUAUGUCUUAGCUUUCAAGC
rfam:Populus trichocarpa scaffold_1_contig_441, whole genome shotgun sequence.